CCGACUAAAUUCUGCCGUCCUCGUCUCGAAACGUCCAAGUGGAUGAGGAAAAAGGAAAGGGGGGAGAAGGACAAACUGCUCGAACUGAGAAGAAAAAGUCAGCGACAAUUAAAUAUUAACACGAACAGCGGCGGAAAGUGAUUGCGGUGGGACUCGGCAGCUUUGAAGUCCGCGGUGUGUUUUUAUGGUUGUGGACGCGUUAGUGUAGUUGUGACAUUGCAGAGGGAAAAGGUCUCCUCCCAGUCUGUUGACGGAUACAGUUUGGCUUCAGUCAGCGGACACACGGCGAGACCUGAGUGUACAUUAACCCGGCCAGGUUGAUGCAUCUGCUUCCAAUCUGAACACCAACGACGUGUUCGUGCUGAAAACUUCCAGUGCUCUGUUUGUCUGGCGAGGACAGGGCGCCACUGAUGAGGAGAUGGACGCAGCCAAGCAUGUGACGAGCUUCCUGGGGGCAGCGUCACUCAAGUAUCGGAGAGCAAGGAGCCAGCUGAGUUCUGGUCUGCUCUGGGAGGUAAGCAGGACUACCAGACCUCCAAGAGUCUGAGGAACAUGGUCAAACCUCCACGUCUCUUUGGCUGCUCCAACAAAACUGGAACUCACUGUUGAAGAAGUACCAGAAGAUUUCACUCAGUCAGAUCUGGCCACUGAUGAUGUUAUGCUUCUGGAUACAUGGGACCAGAUCUUCAUUUGGAUUGGCAGUGACGCUAAUGCAGAGGAGAGGAGCGGAGCUCCUAAAAUAGCAAAAGACUAUGUGGACUCUGACCCGUCUGGUCGCAGUGGACUACCCAUCACCACCAUAAAACAGGGAGCAGAGCCCCCGACUUUCACAGGCUGGUUCCAGGCUUGGGAUGCCAAGAUGUGGGAUACAGAUCGACUGGCAAAAAUAUUUGGACAUUCCUGAAGCUGCAGGCCCUUCCUCCCAGUCUAACCUAUCCAGCACCUUCUAUUGCCGUUAUGUUUACCUUAACCCUAAGUGCCAAAACCAAUGUUGUUGUUGUUGUUGUCAGGUUGAGGCUGGCUUGAUGCAGUGCACCAGGCCUAAUAAACAGGAAUAUGUCACAUAAGCAGUUAUAUAAUAUCCUUUUGUAUCACUGAUAGAGGUGGUUUAUUGAUCUAUAGCAUCCGACAGUUUGUCCCUCUGUUAAUUAGAGCAUCUAAUAUGAAUAAGAAAUAAGUAAGAAAGCCAUAUCACACUCCCGGUCAUAUCCUGUGUUUCUGUUUGCCCUCUUUUACUGCAUUACAUUUGUAUCCAGAAUACAUUGUCAUGCUUUCCUUUACGUUCUGUCUGUUUUAACAGAGUAUUUCUGUACUUUCAUAGUGAACCAGUACACUUACAGAGACUCCACUGCUACAUUGUGUGUUUUGUCACUGGUACGGAAUACUUUUAUUUGCAUGCUGCAUUUGUUAAAAAUCUAAUCCUGUGCUUGACAACAUUUCUAAAAGGUGUGGAUGUUAUGUAGCCUAAACACAGUCUAAUGUGUCAACUCUGCGACUAGUAUUUGACCCUGAAAUGCUCACAUGGAGUGGUUUUAAAUAAACUUCCAGUGUUUCAAA